AGAAUAGCCAAAAUAUCUGUGUGACAGCCUCUCUUCCUUUCUUUACUCUCGUCGUCUCAUGUGCUCUCACUUUCUUCAUAUAUAUAGUCUUUCUUCUCCUCCUGUGCAGCCUCUCUUGAUCUUACCGAAUACCCGAAAGGCAGAGAGAAGACACUUCCAAACCAAUGUCAAGUGUUGUCAUUAGUUUCUUCAAGUAUAGGAACUCUUAAAUAUGCAACUGGGUUGUUGGUUGCUUUUUGGCAUGGGUGGUGUAGGAAAGGUAUAUAUCUCCU